UGGGGAAUAUUGGACAAUGGGCGCAAGCCUGAUCCAGCAAUGCCGCGUGAGUGAUGAAGGCCUUCGGGUUGUAAAGCUCUUUCGCACGCGACGAUGAUGACGGUAGCGUGAGAAGAAGCCCCGGCUAACUUCGUGCCAGCAGCCGCGGUAAUACGAAGGGGGCUAGCGUUGUUCGGAAUUACUGGGCGUAAAGGGCGCGUAGGCGGUGUGUCAAGUCAGGCGUGAAGCCCCGGGCUCAACCUGGGAACCGCGCUUGAGACUGGCACGCUCGAGUUCGGGAGAGGAUGGUGGAAUUCCCAGUGUAGAGGUGAAAUUCGUAGAUAUUGGGAAGAACACCGAUGGCGAAGGGCAGCCAUCUGGACCGACACUGACGCUGAGGCGCGAAAGCGUGGGGAGCAAACAGGAUUAGAUACCCUGGUAGUCCACGCCGUAACGAUGAGUGCUAGACGUCGGGGCCCUCAGGGCUUCGGUGUCGCAGCUAACGCU
rnacentral:rRNA from 1 species